rnacentral:rRNA from 1 species
UACGAAGGGGGCUAGCGUUGUUCGGAAUUACUGGGCGUAAAGCGCACGUAGGCGGUGUUCCAUGUCAGAGGUGAAAGCCUGGAGCUCAACUCCAGAACUGCCAUUGAAACUGUUAGACCUGAGUACGAGAGAGGUGAGUGGAAUUCCCAGUGUAGAGGUGAAACUCGUAGAUAUUGGGAAGAACACCAGUGGCGAAGGCGGCUCACUGGCUCGUAACUGACGCUCAGGCGCGACAGCGUGGGGAUCAAACAGG